UCUUCGGAUCGUAAAACUCUGUUGUUAGAGAAGAACAAGUACCGUUCGAAUAGGGCGGUACCUUGACGGUACCUAACCAGAAAGCCACGGCUAACUACGUGCCAGCAGCCGCGGUAAUACGUAGGUGGCAAGCGUUGUCCGGAAUUAUUGGGCGUAAAGCGCGCGCAGGCGGUUUCUUAAGUCUGAUGUGAAAGCCCACGGCUCAACCGUGGAGGGUCAUUGGAAACUGGGAGACUUGGGUGCAGAAGAGGAGAGUGGAAUUCCACGUGUAGCGGUGAAAUGCGUAGAGAUGUGGAGGAACACCAGUGGCGAAGGCGACUCUCUGGUCUGUAACUGACGCUGAGGCGCGAAAGCGUGGGGAGCGAACAGGAUUAGAUACCCUGGUAGUCCACGCCGUAAACGAUGAGUGCUAAGUGUUAGAGGGUUUCCGCCCUUUAGUGCUGCAGCUAACGCAUUAAGCACUCCGCCUGGGGAGUACGGCCGCAAGGCUGAAACUCAAAGGAAUUGACGGGGGCCCGCACAAGCGGUGGAGCAUGUGGUUUAAUUCGAAGCAACGCGAAGAACCUUACCAGGUCUUGACAUCCUCUGACAACCCUAGAGAUAGGGCUUUCCCCUUCGGGGGACAGAGUGACAGGUGGUGCAUGGUUGUCGUCAGCUCGUGUCGUGAGAUGUUGGGUUAAGUCCCGCAACGAGCGCAACCCUU
rnacentral:rRNA from 1 species